AACCGGAUUAGAUACCCUGGUAGUCCACGCUGUAAACGAUGAAUACUAGGUGUCUGGUGUCAAAGCUAGGUGCCGCAGCUAACGCAUUAAGUAUUCCGCCUGGGGAGUACGCACGCAAGUGUGAAACUCAAAGGAAUUGACGGGGACCCGCACAAGUAGCGGAGCAUGUGGUUUAAUUCGAAGCAACGCGAAGAACCUUACCAGGUCUUGACAUCCUUCUGACCGAUCCUUAGCCGGAUCUUCCCUUCGGGGCAGAAGAGACAGGUGGUGCAUGGUUGUCGUCAGCUCGUGUCGUGAGAUGUUGGGUUAAGUCCCGCAACGAGCGCAACCCUUGCCUUUAGUUGCCAUCAGGUUAUGCUGGGCACUCUAGAGGGACUGCCGGUGACAAACCGGAGGAAGGUGGGGAUGACGUCAAAUCAUCAUGCCCCUUAUGAUCUGGGCUACACACGUGCUACAAUGGUCGGUACAACGGGCAGCGAAGUCGAGAGAUGGAGCGAAUCCUAAAAAGCCGAUCCCAGUUCGGAUUGUGGGCUGAAACUCGCCCACAUGAAGUUGGAGUUGCUAGUAAUCGCGGAUCAGAAUGCCGCGGUGAAUGCGUUCCCGGGUCUUGUACACACCGCCCGUCACACCAUGGAAGUUGGGGGGACCCGAAGCCAGUGAUCCAACCGUAAGGAGGAAGCUGUCGAAGGUAAAACCAAUGACUGGGGUGAAGUCGUAACAAGGUAACC
rnacentral:rRNA from 1 species